CACUGAUUCAUUUCCACCAGUAGGAUUAUCUAAAACUCAAGUGUGAGCCUCUUGCUCAUUGGCUUACCUUCUUCACUGGAUCCCUGUCAUUUCUGGGGUGAAAACCACACUUCCUGCCUAACCCCCAUCCAGCCUGGCUUCCUGGCAUCAUCUCCCACCUCUCUGUUCUGCUCUAGUCCUGAUGUGUUGCUUGUUGUUCUCCAAAGUGGAAGUGUAGUCCAGUCUCCAGGCCAAGGCAGGUGAUAUCCGAAUGCCUUUUUCUUUUUCUUCCUCUAGUUAACUUCCACUCCCACCUCAAAACUCAGUUCAAGCAUGUUCUUCAGAGACCUAUGUGUGUUCUUAUAGCCUUUGGUGACUUCCUUAAUUAUAGCACUAGCUGUCACGUGGUAAACCUUGAGUUCAGAAUCUGUAAAUUCCUUUAGGUAGAGAGCUUGUUAUAGUAGGAAAUGUAACUUACUGGACUUUUCAUCUCCAGAUCUUAGAAGCAAGUCUCUGGUGCAUAGUGAGUUAGUGGUCAAUGUUUACUGAGUGCUUAGACAAAUACCAGGAUGGUGAAUACACAGAGCAUCUGGAUCUACCUGGGUCUCCUUAACAAUUUCUGAAGAAUUUUUUUUUUAUUCAAAACUUUAUAAAUGUGAGAGCAAGUGUAUUACAGAAGAACAAAACUGGCAGGAAGUAAUGCUAUAGGGACAUCUUGCUAAUGAUUUGUACACAUGCAGACCCAUAUACAUGUGUCACUAUACAAGAGUUCUGAGAUUAGCCACCAAGCCUUCUUUGUUAGGCCAUUGGGAAAAACCUUACCCAAAGGUAGCUCAGCAAUCAUUUGUCUGAGGCUCCUCUGGCUCUUCCCCCCACCCCACCGUUUGUCUUUUUCUAGCUCUCUGUCAUUCUUAGAUCCA
rnacentral:lncRNA from 1 species